UACAGAGGGGGCAAGCGUUGUCCGGAAUUAUUGGGCGUAAAGAGCUCGUAGGCGGUCUGUCGCGUCCGUUGUGAAAACUCGAGGCUCAACCUCGGGCUUGCAGUGGAUACGGGCAGACUAGAGUGCGGUAGGGGAGACUGGAAUUCCCAGUGUAGCGGUGAAAUGCGCAGAUAUUGGGAGGAACACCAGCGGCGAAGGCGGCACUCUGGGCUGGUACUGACGCUGAGGAGCGAAAGCGUGGGUAGCGAACAGG
rnacentral:rRNA from 1 species